rnacentral:lncRNA from 1 species
CUGAUUGUCUUUCUCCUAAACAGCUCAGAGAGGUUUCUCAUCACUGUCUUUGAUGUGCAAAUAGAACUCCAGACUCUGACAUUUAGACUGCUGAAGACAGGGAUAAUAGUGGACAACACUCUCUCCACUAGGGCUAGCCCAACCAAAGAGUUGGGAUACAACAUCAACAUGCCAUAUUGAUAUAGGUUGGAUAGCGGUCCAUCAAUAUAUCAGCAAUCCAAAGAUCAUGAGUAAGGUCGAUAUCCUACCCAUCUCCUAC